rnacentral:tRNA from 1 species
GUGAGCUUAGUAUAAAGGUAGUAUCGAUGGCUUCCAACCAUUGGGUAUCGGUUCGAAUCCGAUAGAUCAUA